AGAAUUGAUCUGGUCAGAACGAACGCUGGCGGCGACGUCUUAAGCAUGCAAGUCGAACGGCAAGAGGUAGCAAUACCUCCUAGAGUGGCGGACUGGUGAGUAACACGUGGGUGACAUACCCUUCAGAUGGGGAUAGCUAUUAGAAAUAGUAGAUAAUACCGAAUACGAGCACAGGGGUUAGAGAUCUGUGAGGAAAGGAGCUAAGGCUCCGCUGAAGGAAUGGCCUGCGGCCCAUUAGCUAGUUGGUGAGGUAAGAGCCCACCAAGGCGAUGAUGGGUAUCCGGCCUUAGAGGGUGAACGGACACAUUGGGACUGAGAUACGGCCCAGACUCCUACGGGAGGCAGCAGCUAAGAAUAUUCCGCAAUGGACGAAAGUCUGACGGAGCGACGCCGCGUUGGAUGAAGAAGGCCGGAAGGUUGUAAAAUCCUUUUGAAACUGAAGAAUAAGCGUUGUAGGGAAUGACAGCGUGGUGACAGUAGGUUUUGAAUAAGCAACGGCUAAUUACGUGCCAGCCGCUGC
rnacentral:rRNA from 1 species